GACGUAGGGGGCGAGCGUUGUCCGGAUUCAUUGGGCGUAAAGCGCGCGCAGGCGGCCCGUUAAGUCGGAUGUGAAAACCCGGGGCUCAACCCCGGGCCUGCACCCGAUACUGGCGGGCUCGAGGCAGGUAGGGGAGAUCGGAAUUCCCGGUGUAGCGGUGAAAUGCGCAGAUAUCGGGAGGAACACCGGUGGCGAAGGCGGAUCUCUGGGCCUGUCCUGACGCUGAGGCGCGAAAGCUGGGGGAGCAAACAGG
rnacentral:misc_RNA from 1 species